rnacentral:rRNA from 1 species
UUUCCCGUAUUCUUGCCGGAGGUCAUUGCUAUGGGAUCCGUUUAGGCAUGCUAGUCGCACAGUUCAGACUCGUGCGAUAGCUCAGUACACGUGCCAAACUACCUUCGAACACAAUNCCUCGGAAACUGAGGCUAAUAGUGUAUACCAUACCACCACUGGAAUGAGUGGUAUGCCAAACGCUCCGGCGCCGAAGGAUGUGGCUGCGGCCGAUUAGGUAGACGGUGGGGUAACGGCCCACCGUGCCAAUAAUCGGUACGGGUCAUGAGAGUGAGAACCCGGAGACGGAAUCUGAGACAAGAUUCCGGGCCCUACGGGGCGCAGCAGGCGCGAAACCUUUACACUGCACGACAGUGCGAUAGGGGGAUCCCAAGUGCACAGGCAUAGCGCCUGUGCUUUUCGGUACCCUAAGGCGGUACCAGAAUAAGGGCUGGGCAAGACCGGUGCCAGCCGCCGCGGUAAUACCGGCAGCCCAAGUGAUGGCCGAUCUUAUUGGGCCUAAAGCGUCCGUAGCUGGCCGCGCAAGUCCAUCGGGAAAUCCACCUGCUCAACAGGUGGGCGCCCGGUAGAAACUGCGUGGCUUGGGACCGGAAGGCGCGACGGGUACGUCCGGGGUAGGAGUGAAAUCCCGUAAUCCUGGACGGACCGCCGAUGGCGAAAGCACGUCGCGAGAACGGAUCCGACAGUGAGGGACGAAAGCCAGGGUCUCGAACCGGAUUAGAUACCCGGGUAGUCCUGGCCGUAAACAAUGUCUGCUAGGUGUGGCUCCCACUACGAGUGGGUGCUGUGCCGUAGAAAGCCGCUAAGCAGUACC